CCCGCCGCUUUCUUCUCGCGCCCCUCCCCUUCACGCACACGCCCCUUCCUGAUUUCCUCCGAAGGAGCGCCUGCAGGGAUAUGGGGAUAUAAAGGGAGACGCUUCUGAACCACCCUCCGAAUACCCAGAAGCCAGAGCCGGGGAGCUACGCUUAAAGGUUUUGGAGAAAGGAUUUGGCAGUCAUCACCCCGUGUGCGGAGUGAAGCAAAAUAAGUCAGCCCUGUGUAGAAAAAAGAAACCUUUUCUCAGAGAGGUCUUUGUUUGGAUUUUACGAAGCCAGAACUGGAGCUGAUCUUCGCCCCCACCCUGCGUCAAGUACAUGGUGUAUUACAGCACAUACGAGUAUGUUCAAAGGCAGUGAUCAGAAGGAAAUACACCGUCUUCCAAUCCCAUGUCAUAUUUUAAAACAAAGCAACGAUCUUUUUCCUGGAGAAAAAUCCUUGGAAUUAUGGGAUUUUCUUUUCUCAAAUUUCCUUUACUUAGUUACAUAUAAAAAUACUAAUUUUAGAGACUGGAGAGAUGUCUCAGCGGUUAAAAGCACUAGAUGCUCUUCCAGAGGACUUGGGUUCAAUCCCCAGCACCCACAUGCAACCCACACUGGUCUGUAACUCCACUUCCAGGAGACCUGACAAAACACCAAUGCACAUAAGACCG
ensembl:lncRNA LOC120101572 uncharacterized LOC120101572